CAGCAGCUGUUACUUCUCUUUCCCCAGCACACACUCCCCAGAUGCCUUCCGAAGUGCUGAUGUUAGAGAUGAUAACCUCUCUGAAGGCUCACCAGAACCACACAAAGUUGAAAAGAGAAACGUCUCUAAAUCUCGGUUUAUUAAGAAGAACCAAAGGAAAUGAAGUCAGGGUCAGACCUCAGCAGAUGCUCCCGGCGCUC
rfam:Otolemur garnettii contig096135, whole genome shotgun sequence.